AAAGAAAGAGGGGGGAAGGAAGAAAAAAGGGAAGUCGAAAGAGACCUUCGGGUCUAGGGGAGAACGGGUGCGUAACGCGUGGGAACCGGCCCUUAGGUUCGGAAUAACUCCCCGAAAGGGGUGCUAAGACCGGAUAAUGUCUUCGGACCAAAGAUUUAUCGCCUUUGGAUGGGCCCGCGUUGGAUUAGCUAGUUGGUAGGGUAAAAGCCUACCAAGGCGACGCUCCAUAGCUGGUCUGAGAGGAUGAUCAGCCACACUGGGACUAAGACACGGCCCAGACUCCUACGGGAGGCAGCAGUGGGGAAUAUUGGACAAUGGGCGAACGCCUGCUCCAGCAAUGCCGCGUGCCUUCUUCCGGCCUUAGGGUUGUAAAGCUCUUUUACCCGGGAUGAUAAUGACAGUACCGGGAGCCUAAGCUCCUCCUCCCUCCGUG
rnacentral:rRNA from 1 species